CUGCAAUGCUGUGUCCGGGAACGAGAGGUGCCCCAAAGGAUCCUAACUUGCAGAUAAGUCCUCUGUAUCCAGUACUGCCAGAUCAAAGUGUUCCAAAAGUACAAGUCAGGCUCUCCAAAAGCAUGAAAUUUUAAAUGUCCUAGGUACUCCAUCCCAACCUGGGCUGGACAGCAG